rnacentral:rRNA from 1 species
CCUACGGGAGGCAGCAGUGGGGAAUAUUGGGCAAUGGAGGCAACUCUGACCCAGCAAUGCCGCGUGAGUGAUGAAGGUAAUUUUAUUGUAAAGCUCUUUUCUUUGGAACGAAUAAAUGACGGUACCAAAGGAAUAAGCCCCGGCUAACUACGUGCCAGCAGCCGCGGUUAUACGUAGGGGGCAAGUGAUGCUCGGAAUGACUGGGCGUAAAGGGUGUGUAGGAGGUUUGAUAAAUUAGAUGGGGAAUACCCAGGGCUUAACUCAGGUGCUGCAUCGAAAACUGUUAGACUUGAGUACUGGAGAGGAUAGUGGAAUGCCUAGUGUAGCGGUGGAAUGCGUAGAUAGUAGGAGGAACAUCAGUGGCGAAGGCGACUAACUGGACAGCAACUGACACUGAGGCACGAAAGCGUGGGGAGCAAACAGGAUUAGAUACCCUGGUAGUC